UGGGGAAUUUUGGACAAUGGGCGAAAGCCUGAUCCAGCAAUGCCGCGUGUGUGAAGAAGGCCUUCGGGUUGUAAAGCACUUUUGUCCGGAAAGAAAUCCUUGGCUCUAAUACAGUCGGGGGAUGACGGUACCGGAAGAAUAAGCACCGGCUAACUACGUGCCAGCAGCCGCGGUAAUACGUAGGGUGCAAGCGUUAAUCGGAAUUACUGGGCGUAAAGCGUGCGCAGGCGGUUUGCUAAGACCGAUGUGAAAUCCCCGGGCUCAACCUGGGAACUGCAUUGGUGACUGGCAGGCUAGAGUAUGGCAGAGGGGGGUAGAACUUCCACGUGUAGCAGUGAAAUGCGUAGAGAUGUGAGGAAUACCGAUGGCGAAGGCAGCCCCCUGGGCCAAUACUGACGCUCA
rnacentral:rRNA from 1 species